rnacentral:rRNA from 1 species
AUUGAACGCUGGCGGAAUGCUUUACACAUGCAAGUCGAGCGGCAGCGCGGGGCAACCUGGCGGCGAGCGGCGAACGGGUGAGUAAUGCAUCGGAACAUGUCCAUGUCGUGGGGGGAUAGCCCGGCGAAAGCCGGAUUAAUACCGCAUACGUCCGAGAGGAGAAAGUGGGGGACCCGCAAGGGCCUCACGCGAUUGGGUUGGCCGAUGUCCGAUUAGCUAGUUGGUGGGGAAAGGCUCACCAAGGCGAUGAUCGGUAGCUGGUCUGAGAGGAUGAUCAGCCACACUGGGACUGAGACACGGCCCAGACUCCUACGGGAGGCAGCAGUGGGAAUUUUGGACAAUGGGGCAACCCUGAUCCAGCCAUUCCGCGUGAGUGAAGAAGG